rnacentral:lncRNA from 1 species
AGGAAUUAAAAACAACGGGACUUUUAUACUGGUUCGGAUUCAAUGUGAAUCCUGAUCCAGCCCCCUUAGGUUGCAAGGGAGUUCUCCUUUAGUAAAUGAGUUUCUUCCGAGUAUAGAUGUGGUGUAUAUCGCUUAGUUUCUCUAGCACUCGUUGUUGAUACAAUGCCUCACCAGUUGUCUUCUCUCUUUCUAUCCCUGACUUGUUACACAAUAGAUCUUAGUGUUUACAAUGCUUAUUUGUAGUAGAAUAAAGAGAGUGACUUGGUUUGAUCAAACUAUAUCUAGGCUAGGGUUUACAAGGGUGUAUAAAUACUUUGCUAGAUAGUAGAGGCUUGACAACCCAAGAGAUUUGAUCCUUGGAAAGAAUUGAUUCUUUCCAAGAAUAAGGAAUGAGCCGUUGCUUCUCUAAAUUGCUUCACUUGAUUUCUCCUUGAUUGUUGGCUCUUCUAAAUGUGGUCGCUUCCUAGAUCUCCUCGUACCCGUUAGUCUUCCGUGACUCUGCCCAUGAUUCAUGCCUUUGUCCAAGGCUUAUUUGAUUUUUUCCAGCUCAGCUAAUCAUUGUUAUUGCUGAUUGAUUCGUUGAUUAGAUUGUGCCCAGAUUUAUGAGACCAAUCCAGAUUUGUUGAUCACAUGCUGAUUGAUUUCUUUUCUUGUACAUCAUGAACCAUUCCAAUAGUCUUCUUUACUUCUUGAACUUGAAUUCCUGCACAUAUAUACUAUUUGCAUCAUUAAAACAUGAUCUAUCAAUCUCCCCCUUUUGAUGAUGACAAAAUAAUAUAAUAGUAUAAAGAAGCAAACACCACUCGACUUCCCUGUGUUUUACUAGUCGACUUGAUUCCCCCUCAGUGUAUGUAUGCUUGACUUCCCCUUAAUGUAUGCAUUCGACUUGACCUGUCCAUGACUCUCCCCCUCAGUGUGUGUAGUCGGCUUGUACCGACUUAUACCUGUAUAGUGUACGAUAUAUGCUACCAAUACACAUAUAAAAUGUGUGCAGUCGACUUGUACACAUACACAUAUAGACACAUAGUCGACUUGUAUAUGCUACCAAUACACAUAUAAAAUGUGUGAUGUCGACCUAUACACAUAAAUAUAUAGACACAUAAUAGACUUCUACCUGUACACAUACACAUAACAUAGGAAAAGUAAUAUGAUACACAUAUAGACAUAUAGUCGACUUGUACCUGUACACAUACACAUAACGUAGGAAAAAUAAUAUGCUUUUUCUCCCCCUUUUUGCCAUCAGCAAAGAGGGAUUAGAAACAUAGAUAACUGUAAAGUAGAAAAGGUAAAGAGAUUAUCCAGCGGUUGGUGAAACAACCCACAGUAGCAAAAAAAUUAUCCAAGGGCUUAAAUCACAACCCAAAGUACCACCGAAAAAAGUUGUAAAAAAACAUAGUUUGAAAAACAUCCACACUAGCGGCGCAGGAAAUAGGUAAGGGAGUUGCAGAUGGACUCCUUCAACUGUUCGAAGCUAGUACUUGCAGCGACGCUCAUACCAUAUAGCUAGUCGUGAACCUCCUUGAAGGGCUUGACAACAUUCUUCCUUGCUCUGAGAACAACAACUCUGAAUUUUGACACGUCAGACCCUGUUUCCUAUGAAAUAGUAUGAAAGUCACUCAUAUUGGACUGAGUGGCGGAAAGAAGAUUCUUGAUGUCAGAGAGUUUGGAGACAAUAGAGAUAAUCUUCUCACUAAGCUCAGAACUGACAAGAGUAGGAGGAGGAACAACUAAUAAAGGUUUAGUUUCCAUAGGGGCAUGCUUUGCUUCACUCUCACUUUUCUUAACCUAGGAGCCCUUGAUACUCACAUAGCCCAUACUAGAAAAGGCUCUAGAAUUAUGGACUUGAAGACAAUAAUGAAGGGAUAGUUUGAUAGAGAAAUUUGAUGGGCUUCCAGAAUAUGAGUGAUUGCCAUACCAUAGGGUAAACUAGUGGGCUCUUCAACACUUUCUAUCAUGAAAUUGAUGACCCAUGAGGAAAGCUUGAGUUUGAGUUUGGUGAUAAGGCAGUAGAAAAAGAAUAUAUCCCUUUGAGAGAAAGUUGAGAAGGAACCAAUAUGGGGAAGCAGGGUGGUUUCCACAAUAUGGGCUAGAACCUGAGUUUCAAAACUUACAUCACUAGGGCCCAAUUGGGUUGGAAGAAUUUCAGAGGGACACUCAACAAUUCACUGUUUGGCUUGGUUAAAGGAAAUUUAAAAUUUCUCAGGCCACACAUUUUUAAAAAGACUAGGGAAACCAGAGCAAUGACAUUGGAAAAGAGAGUCAAACAAGGCACAAUCAAGAACAAUGCACUUACCUAACACUAGAGAUUCUAGCCUAUCUGGUUUACAGGAGCGAAGAUUUGCAUAAAAUAUUCUGACCAGGGGUUCAUAUACCUUAGGUGGAGGAAUAGAGAGGAUUUUUCCCACCCUUGAUAAACAAAGAGUUCUUUAACCUUACAGUUGAGGGCUUCGAUAUCAUCAAGAUCCACGAUCCUUCCAUGGGCUAUGGGCUUGCCCUUAAAAGUAAUGAAAAGAUCCCUAUUUGGGGUAUCCCAGAUGUUUAGGUCAGACUCGAGUAAGGCAGAGAAAUCGACCUUUGAUUUCUUUGGGGUGGAUGAAAUGGGAGGAUCUUCCAUGGCUCAUUUUCUUACAGCUAUUUCUCUUAGAAGUUGGGAGUGUUCAGAGAAAUCACCUUGAGAUGAGGCAAAUAAUUCAGAGUGGUCAGAGCCUAGGUCUACUUGCUCAGGAGGCGCAGAAAAGGGUUUCGCCUUAGAGCGGGUACUUUUUCUAGUGGAGGCAGAGGGAUUCUUGGAGUGUUUCUCCAUUGUAGAAGAGGGUAUUUGUUUGAAGUUUUGGAGAGAAGAUGGAGAUGAGAGUGACUGAAAGGGUUUUCUAACUUAAGAAGAGGGUUUUGACGGUUGAGUACAGAAGAGGAAAAGUUGUCAGUUGAGAAGACGAGAUGAUUGGCUUUCCAU